UACGUAGGUCCCGAGCGUUGUCCGGAUUUAUUGGGCGUAAAGCGAGCGCAGGUGGUUUAUUAAGUCUGGUGUAAAAGGCAGUGGCUCAACCAUUGUAUGCAUUGGAAACUGGUAGACUUGAGUGCAGGAGAGGAGAGUGGAACUCCAUGUGUAGCGGUGAAAUGCGUAGAUAUAUGGAGGAACACCGGUGGCGAAAGCGGCUCUCUGGCCUGUAACUGACACUGAGGCUCGAAAGCGUGGGGAGCAAACAGG
rnacentral:rRNA from 1 species